UACGAAGGGGGCUAGCGUUGCUCGGAAUCACUGGGCGUAAAGCGCACGUAGGCGGACUCUUAAGUCGGUGGUGAAAUCCUGGAGCUCAACUCCAGAACUGCCUUCGAUACUGAGAGUCUCGAGUCCGGGAGAGGUGAGUGGAACUGCGAGUGUAGAGGUGAAAUUCGUAGAUAUUCGCAAGAACACCAGUGGCGAAGGCGGCUCACUGGCCCGGUACUGACGCUGAGGUGCGAAAGCGUGGGGAGUAAACAGG
rnacentral:rRNA from 1 species